rnacentral:rRNA from 1 species
ACGGCCUUCGGGUUGUAAACCGCUUUUGAUCGGGAGCAAGCCUUCGGGUGAGUGUACCUUUCGAAUAAGCACCGGCUAACUACGUGCCAGCAGCCGCGGUAAUACGUAGGGUGCAAGCGUUAUCCGGAAUUAUUGGGCGUAAAGGGCUCGUAGGCGGUUCGUCGCGUCCGGUGUGAAAGUCCAUCGCUUAACGGUGGAUCUGCGCCGGGUACGGGCGGGCUGGAGUGCGGUAGGGGAGACUGGAAUUCCCGGUGUAACGGUGGAAUGUGUAGAUAUCGGGAAGAACACCAAUGGCGAAGGCAGGUCUCUGGGCCGUUACUGACGCUGAGGAGCGAAAGCGUGGGGAGCGAACAGGAUUAGAUACCCUGGUAGUCCACGCCGUAAACGGUGGAUGCUGGAUGUGGGGCCCGUUCCACGGGUUCCGUGUCGGAGCUAACGCGUUAAGCAUCCCGCCUGGGGAGUACGGCCGCAAGGCUAAAACUCAAAGAAAUUGACGGGGGCCCGCACAAGCGGCGGAGCAUGCGGAUUAAUUCGAUGCAACGCGAAGAACCUUACCUGGGCUUGACAUGUUCCCGACCGCUCCAGAGAUGGGGCUUCCCUUCGGGGCGGGUUCACAGGUGGUGCAUGGUCGUCGUCAGCUCGUGUCGUGAGAUGUUGGGUUAAGUCCCGCAACGAGCGCAACCCUCGCCCUGUGUUGCCAGCACAUGAUGGUGGGAACUCACGGGGGACCGCCGGGGUCAACUCGGAGGAAGGUGGGGAUGACGUCAGAUCAUCAUGCCCCUUACGUCCAGGGCUUCACGCAUGCUACAAUGGCCGGUACAACGGGAUGCGACACGGCGACGUGGAGCGGAUCCCUGAAAACCGGUCUCAGUUCGGAUUGGAGUCUGCAACCCGACUCCAUGAAGGCGGAGUCGCUAGUAAUCGCGGAUCAGCAACGCCGCGGUGAAUGCGUUCCCGGGCCUUGUACACACCGCCCGUCAAGUCAUGAAAGUGGGUAGCACCCGAAGCCGGUGGCCUAACCCUUUGUGGAUGAGCCGUCUAAGGUAGACUGAG